GCAAAGUAUAGUAGUAGGGCCCUAGGUUAGGAAAGUAUAUUUAUGGUAUUGUAUUGUACACAAACAUAAAACAUGAUUAUAUUUCAUUCCAGAUCAUUCAUUUGAGGGCUUGAUAACACAAUUUCAAUCUUCACUAUAUGAAUAUUAUGAAACCAAUGAAGGCCCACCCUUGUACUCCCCUGUUGAUGCGAGACUUUGUGGAAGAACAUGCAUGUGGAUUGUAUGAAAUUAUUCUAAACUUAAUUAUAAAAGAUACCACUUCAAAAGAAAGGACUGUUGCCCUUCUUCACAUCCUAGCAUACUACAGGUAUAAUCUAUCUAAAAAUACAGCUGAUAAAGAGGGUUUGUUUGAACCCUCUAAAAAACAAAUGCUAUAGGCCUGUGGUAUCACAUAAAAAUUCGCUUGACAUGUACUAGACUAUAUGCUUAGCUUAUCCUACCUACUUGAACAACUACUUUGAUCCUUUUUCUGUUAUUGUCUGUAGAUCACAGAAGACCUCUCAAUUUAAUAAGGACGUUGGUGCAUUUCUUCACCACCAUGGAGCAUCAAGGUCUGCAAUCAACACUGGACCAGUGCUAGGUGAGUGCAAGUAACAUAAUUAAAAAUGACAUCUAGUGUAUCCCUUUGAACAAUCUAAAUCCACAAGAUAUUGAAACUGUGGUGGGUGACAUGGAAUUGGAAGACCUGUGUUCAAAAAUCCUGCUUUUUUUCAGGAUACAGUGUGGCACCAAGGACACUUGACAGGCAAAAAAAAACAUAAAAAAGGAACUACCCAAAUCAGCUGCAGGAACAUCUAAAAUAUGCAGUUGAUGAGAAGGGCUUCAUAAUGCUGCUUAUAGAUGACUUUCACAAUAUUCACACUGUGCGACUGCCAGGGAGUGAUAUGAAACUAUCAGUGGCUACCCAUAUGACCUCUUCACUGUUAGAUAUCCACCCUUCUAUCAAAGCCCCAAA